rnacentral:misc_RNA from 1 species
AACUGAUACUACCUGCGGGAACCUGCGGAGGGAUCAUUACUGAGUUUCACAACUCUCUAACCCUGUGUGAACUGAAGUCUGGUUGCUCAGGCAGGCGGCCCCCGGGGGGAGCCGCAGCUUCUCUGAAGCGCCUGCCGGAGGAUACCUAAACUCGUUUUAACAUAUAAUCUUCUGAGUAAUAAAAAAAAUGAAUCAAAACUUUCAACAAUGGAUCUCU